rnacentral:lncRNA from 1 species
ACUAUAAAAGGAGACCAUGAGGCAAUGAGUUGAUCAUCAAAGCAAACACACAGAAAUCCCAACUAAAAAUCAAUCAGUGAGACAAUGGCUGGAACCAAUGAUAUUAAAAUUAAAGGGUUUGAUUUGAGCAACAACAAAGGCAACACGUCGGGAUUAACCCACUUCGCCAACAGAGCUGCCGAGGGCGACAAGGGCGACAAUAAAAUCGAGGUUGAGGAUGCUAAAGGGCAAGGGAACACGGGAAACUUGAAAGUACUGACCGACUUCGCCCAACGCGGUAAAGUGGGCCAGUCGGAUCGCCAAGAACUACUCAAACCUCAGGCAUGAAAUUGAAGAAGGCCAGACCACAACAACUUGUCUGCUUGAUAGAUAUAUGUGCUAAAUUAUCUACACAAAAAUAAGAGCUGAUGUUUUAUCUGAGGCUCCUUCCUUGGUUAGGCCUCGUUAUCAUGUGUAAUAUUAAUAUUAUUAUUCUAAUAAAAUAAUGGUAGCUUAUUAUUAAAUAUAUCAGAAUUCUAUACGUAUAACUUUUAGAUUAUUGAUACUGAUGUCAACAAGAGAAAAUGAUUAAAAAUUCCUUUCUCCAAUUCGUGAUGUUAGACAAGAAGCAAACAAAUUUAGGAUAAUGGAUUUUAAAAGUUUGGUGACAAAUGAUGGUAAAGAAGAAUUUAGCCACUACUACAAAAAGUGAAAAAGACGACCAGAAAACAACGACGGUCUAAGUGAAAACCGUCGUGGUUUAUAAAAAGACGACGGUUCUAAAAACACCGUCGUGUAAUACAACCUUAGACAACUAAAAAAUGGAGUUUCAAAUGGCUGUUCAAAAACAACGACGUACAUAAUUAAACAACCGACGUCUAUUUGAAACAGAUUUCCUCAGUGUAAAAUCAAUGCCAACAAAGAACGGCAGAAGUUAUGAAUCGACCGACGUAGAAAGUAAAGACGACGAUUUCAAUAAAAACUGCCGUUUUUACUCAUAAAAUAACACGACGAGGUUUUCGUAUAAGACGCCGUAUAAUUACAAACAAAUCCACGGCUUUAAAAUACAAAAUAUCGCCGUAUUAAAUUAAUUUACAACGACGGAAAAUAUAAAUAUAUCGACGUCAUUCUCGUAUAGUUCUACUACGUUAUCUUUAAAUCGUACAAUAAAAUUUAUCGUCGUAUUUAUUCAUUUUAUACGUCGUACCUUUAAUUUUAACGGUCGUCUUAAUAAGAAUUUUUGUUAACAAUUUUUUUCUUUGAUUUUCUUAUCCUACGUCGGUAGAUCUACUUAAUGACAAGAAUUGAAAUAACCACGACGGUUUAUAUAGAACACCGCCGACAUAAUCAGUUUUGUCUGAGAUCCCAAGGGUUACGAAAUCUUACCAGAUGGAACUCUGUUCCACAUCAUAAUCUUAACAGAUGACACAGAUUUGCAAAUAUUGCGUCGUGUUAGUUUACAAAUUCUAGAACAUUAAUUUCCCUCAUUUUAAAUUUCCUCGGGAAAGAAAAAUCUAUUUAUCACGCUUUGGAAUUGAAAACUAAAACUGAAAGAAUACGGGAAAAAAAACUCCAUUUAUAAUUUAAAAUUAAAAUCCACGUCGGUUGUAGUACACUUAACGACGUUUAACAAAAUAAUCUACGUCGGUAAUUAUAAAUCUACCGCCAUCGUAACUUAAUAUAGACGACGAGAAAAGACGACGGUAGAACAGAAAACCGCCGUUGUUUCAGUUUCUUUAACAUAUCUUUCUGCAGGACUUGUGUAGUUCAAAGCAUUGACAAUGUCUUCAUCAUAUCUCCCAGAAACUACUGAUUCAAUUGCUCAUGCUUUAGAGGCCAUCUGAAGCCAUUUCUAUUCUUUAUCGCAUUCUUGAAACCCAUCUUCUUCUUCUGAAGCUCUACGGAUAAAGGAAGAGGCUAUCACAAUAAAUCCGACGGAUCUUCUUAGGCAAGAAAAUCAAGCAGAGGAUCAGGCACAUCUGAUCUUCAGAUUUCCCUGAGAAGCGAACUUUCCUUCGACAGCGAGUGGAGGCCAGGCUUGCAUCUCUUUUGAUGGAAAGCAAGGAGUAUUCAGAAGCACUAAGUGUCCUAUCAGGCUUGAUCAAGGAAGUGAGAAGGCUAGUUGACAAGCUUCUUCUUGUGGACAUAUAUUUGAUGCGAGUAAGCUCAAUUUCUCUUUGAGAAAACAUCCAAAUUAUUAUCUUUGAGACAUGAGAGACUGAGAGAGGAAGAACUUGGAACCUUAAAUGUAAACCGAAAAUGAAUGAAAGCGACAAAUUUAUAGAAUAAAUUUUUAAAACCAACGGCGGUCCUUACAAACAAACCGCCGUUUAAAUUGUAAAAUCAACGUCGGUAUGAUCGACGUAUAUUACAGAAAUCCACGUCGGUAAAUUAAUAAAAACGACGUGUUAAAUAAUAUACCAUGACGCGAGUUAUUACUUAUGUACUUUAAUUUUUGAGUUUACUACGACGGUACCUACAAACUACUGUCGUAUUUAUUUACCACGUCCGAAGUUAAAUGUACCGUCGUAUUUUGUAAUUUAUACGUCGUAGUUAUAUGUAACCGCCAUAUUAUUUUUUUGAAAUGGUUUUAUAUGUAAGCAACUUUUCGUCUACUUGACUUACACAUUUGUUGUUUUUAUAUUCUUAUUUUAUUUAAAUCUGUCAUCCAAAAAAGAAACUUUACAUAUUGCAGAAUAUUAAUUUCCUUCGUUUUAAAUUUCCUCCGGAAAAAAAACUCUAUUUAUAACGCACUGUAAUUGAAAAAUAAACUGAAAGGUCACGGGAAAAAAAAUUCUAUUCAUAAUUUAAAAAUUAAAAUCCACGUCGGUUAUAUUAAACCUAACGACGUUAAAUGAAAUGAUUCCACGUCGAAUGAAAAAUAUUGCGUCGUUUUAGUUAAAAACGACGUAGUUAAAUGUAACCGCCGUAUUAUUUUUUUGAAAUGGUUUUAUAUGUAAGCAACUUUUCGACUUACACAUGCACUGUUUCCAAACCCGAUUAAAAAUUUCAAUCUCCCAGAGAAACCUUUUCGUCUUUUUUCCUUGUCAGAGCAUUGUCAGAGUUUUUCAUCGUCUUCCUCUCGUCUUCUUCGUCGUCUCUGAACUUAAACAUCGAUCAUCUUCCUCUUGCUUUCAUUGCACGCAAAAGGUAAGCUUUCAUUUUCACUAUUUUGGUUACUGUUUUGCAUGCUCAUACGUUUUUUGUUUGAAAAAUCUUUUUACCUUUUUUCUGGCCAAAAUCAUUUUACUUCUUUCCAAGUUUGAUAAAAUAUACAGACAAAGAGAGAAAGUUUCCAACUUUGAAGACAACUACAUCAACUAAAUAAGACGACGGUAGACCACGACGGUUCGUCAGUUGUUCUAGCGUCGUCUGAAAAUUGACAAAGUUGUUUUUAAAAUAAUAGUCUUUUUUUAUAUGCUUGUUUAAUUGCAGGUUUGAUUUCGCUGAACAAUGGUUUUUGUUUUUCCCUUAUUUGAUAAAAUAUAAAGAAAAAGAAACUAGGGUUGGUAUCUAAUAUAGACGAUAAAAUAUAAAUAAUAGUUUACCACGACGGUGUAUUACUAUUGACGUCGUGUGAACAUAUAUACCACGACGUUAUAUAAAUAAUGGUUUUAAACAUUUAUUACGUCUGAGAUUAUUUCAUUGCGUCGUCUAAAAUCAUAUCAUACGUCGUAUUUUUUUAAUACCGUCGUUUGUGUUCUUAAUGUUUUCCUGAAAUAUUUUCACUUGCAGUUUUGUCUGUUAAAAUGGUUUCUCAACAACAAACUAAGGAUUCUGGCUCCAAGAAGCUUGGAAUGGUAGCUCCUCAAGAUAAGUCUUCGAAGGAGAUGAAGUCUUCGAAGAAGAUGAAGUUUGCUUCAUCAUCUGCUGAGACAGAACAAACCAGCCAGACAACAAUCUCAGAUGAUUCAAAGACUGGUCGAGGUAUGAGCACAAUGCCUCGUGUUGUGAAGAGAAAGCUUCAGAAACUGAGGCCAAUUGUUGAGUACAAUAAAAGGGGGAAAGGUGUUGGCCAAGCACAUAUUGAGAUGCAGUCGUAUAUUGGUGUGUUGGCACGCUCCAGGAUCCCACUUGUGGACAAGAAAUGGUCCCAAAUCCCCAAGGAUAUAAAGGAGCAGAUUUGGGAAGCAGUUGACAUGGCUUUUGUCGUAGGCCAAGGGGGCAAGACCUCUGUUUUAGCUUCUGCUUCCAAGAAAUGGAAGGAUUUCAAGUCUACACUAACGAGGCAUUAUAUCCUUCCAUACACCAAUGACAGGGAGAAAUUAAGCCAACCCCCUGAAACAUAUAAAUUCAUAGAGAAAGCACAAUGGGAUGCCUUUGUAGCUUCAAGGCUAUCCAAAGAUUUUGAGUCUGUGCAUUCUCAACAUGCACAGAUUAGGGAGAAACUCGAGUACAAUCAUCGAUUGUCUCGAAAAGGAUAUGCUGGAUUGGAGGAUCAAUUGGAGGAAACCAUGCCUGGGGUAGAAAUUGAUCGAUCUACCUUAUGGAAGAGAGCUAGACAGGACAAACAUGGUAACAUCCCUGAUCCAAAGGUGGCAGAGAAAGCAAAAUUAAUUGUAAGCCUACUAUCACUCUGUUUUAAAUUUUUAUUAAACUGUGAAUUAUUCUUAUUACGUCGUAUGUUAUAUUUUUCGUCGUGUGAAUGAUAUUACCACGUCGAAAAGUUUUUAAAAACGUCGUUAAAGGUCUAAAUAGGAAUCACUACUAUGUUUUCUGUAAUUACAGCAUAAGACGUCGGUGGUUCAUUUUCGCGUCGUGUGAAUGAUAUUACCACGUCGAAAAUUUUUUAAAAACGUCGUUAACGGUCUAAAUAGGAAUCACUACUCUGUUAUCUUUAAUUAUAGCAUAAGACGUCGGUUGUUUAUUCAUUUCGUCGUUUUAAAUAAAUAACCACGUCGGUAUAACUACCGUCGUGAUAAGUUAUAAUAACGUCGGUUUAUACGUUAUUGCGUCGUGUGAAAUUAUAUAAUACGUCGUUUGUACAUAAAUAACCGUCGUGUGUUUUUUUGUUUAUCUUUUUUUAGGAUGAAUUGCAGAAACAAGUCUCGGAAGGCAAAGUCAGAGUAGAUGGCAGCAAUGAUGUGCUGACCAUGGCUUUGGGCCCCGAGCAUCCAGGCAGACUGAGGGGAGUUGGUGCUGGUGUUUCCCCAAGGCAAUAUUUCAAUUUGCCCAAACCACAGAGGGUGAGCUUUGACGACCGUUUGAAGGACAGUUUAAGAGUUCUCCUUCAAGAAGAGACUAAAAAGAUGGAGGCUAAGGCAAGGGAAGAGGCCUUAAGGAUGGAGGCUAGGACAAAACAAUUGGUAGAGGCUGAGAGGGAGCAUUUCCUGAGUCAGCUUUCCCAAUUAAUUCCCAAUUUUGAUCCAAGCAUGCUUAAACCAAGAAUUAGCCAAAGCCCCAAAAAUCCAAUGUCUGACAAAGCUAGCUGCUCUGGAGGUGAUGUGAGAUCCCUACAUUUGGAGGAUGAUACUGCCAAAAUGGGGAAACAUCAGCCAGAUGAAGAGAAGGAAGAAGAAAAAAGAGAUGAAGAGAAGGAAGAAGAAAAGGAGAAAGAAGAUGAAGAAAAGCAUGACGACAAGGUAUGUUCACAUAACUUUGCCUUUUUUAUUUGUUUUUCAAAAUUUCAGACGUCGAUAUUUUUAUUUAAUCCGUCGUUUGUUUAAAACUUAGACGGCGGAAUUUUUUUAAGACGUAAUAAAAUAUUUAAACGACGGUUUUUGCACCGUCGUUUAAAUGGUUUCAGACGACGCUUUAUUCAUAAAACCGUCGUCUUUAUUGAAUUACCACGACAGUUUUUUCACCGUCGUUUAAAUACUUUUAAGACGACGUUUUAUUACUUAAACCGUCGUCUUUAUUGAAUUACCACGUCAUUUUUUUUAUUUCUUUAAACAGGUUAUUGAAGUUGGUGCUUAUUCAAAAAUGGAGGCGCCAUCUUCUUUAAAAACCCUUUGUCGUUUUGUGGAAACGACACUCCUGCCUGAGGAUAAGACACUCCAAUUUACAAUUGAUAAGGAGGUGUUUGGUGGUGAGCGCGAUACCUUCCUCCUGCCUGAAGAUAUUACACAAUUUGCAGGCAUGGAAGAAAUUGGAGCUACUGUAUUGGCUGUAUAUAUGAGGUUUGUACUUCUAAAAUAAUACCUCGUUGGUUUAUAUAUUGCGUCGUCUUAACUAACUAACCACGUCGUCUUAACUAACUACCGUCGUGAUAAAUAUAUUAUAACGUCCUCAUCUAUUUCAGUACGUCGUGUGAAAUAUUAUAAUACGUCGUUUUUUUAUACAUAACCGUCGUGUUUGUUUGUGCUGACUUGUUUAUAUUAUUUUAUGUAUUUAGGUACUUACACGAUGUUUUGAAACAAGCCAAUAUGUGCAGCAUGGUUGGCUUUAUUGACCCUGCUACAGUUAGUGCCAACUCUGGCACAAUAACUGAAAGAUCACGACUGGUAGCAGCUCGACUUCAGAAGACAGACGGUGAACAGCUUUUCAUGAUGCCUUACAAUCCAGGGUUAGUCUCCUUAGGAUUUUGUUUUUAUGAUUUUCAAUAAAUGACAGCUUAUAAACUAACCACGUCGGUGUUUUAUUUUAUUUAGUCGUUUGAAACUACUAACCACGUCGGUAUUUAUUUGUCGUCGUGAUAAAUAUAUAAUGUUGUCGUUAUCUACUUUAUUUCGUCGUGUGAAAUACUAUAAUACGUCGUUUUUGUAAAUAACCGUCGUUUUUAUAUUAAUUUUGUGCAGCCGUCAUUGGAUCCUGCUGAUUGUAAGAGCAAAGAAGGAGACCGUCUAUUUUCUGGAUCCUCUGCCAGGUCAUCGUGUGGUCGACGAAGAGGCGAAAAACAUCGUGAACAGUGCUUUAAAAAUAUAUAAUACCCACAUAGGCCGAGCAGGACGUAAAAAUGUAAUUUGAAAAACUCUCUCAGGCACACCAAAGCAACCCAGCAAUGUCGAAUGCGGGUAUUAUGUGAUGCGCUUCAUGAGGGACAUCAUCAUGGAUCCUUCCUUGGGGUUUGAGAAUAAGGUAAGAAGAAAUUACCUUCAUACAUUUCACGUCGUUUUUUGUAUUAUCAACGACGGUCAUGUAAAAUUAACGUCGUUGAAUGGAUAUACUACGUCGGUUAUGAAAAAUAUCGUCGUCUGUGAUUGAAUUUCUUUUUAUUUAUAAACCCUAAUAGUCAUUGUUUAUGCAGUAUGCCAAGGGAAACCAGGAAGCUUCAUACCCCCAAGAAGCCAUUGAUGAAGUCCGGAAUGAAUGGGCAGAGUUUGUUUUCCAAAUUAUUAAACAGGGCAAUUAUUGAACACUUGAUAUUUAUGUAUAAUGUACCAAUUUUCUCUAUAAUAUGUAAUGUAAAAAUUUGUUGAGGUUUUCUUAAAUUAAAAAAAAAACAAACAUACAAAUUGCUUAACCGACGUGUAAUACUUUUCCAACGACCUAAUAAAGUCACAAACCGUCGUAUUUUGUUGUUUCGUGUUUUAAACAAUUACGACGUAAAAAAAUAGUUAGACGACGUUCUUUGAACAAUUGAGUCGUUAAUGGUUUACAAUAUCUUCAAUUUCUUAAGGGUUCAGGGUAUAAUCGACGACGUUUAUGUAACGACUGCGGUUAAGUCGUAAAAUAUAUAUUUUACGUCGUAUAGUUAAAUAGCCGCCAUGGUUUUUCAUUUUAACGACGUCAUUUUAACGACUUAGUAGUCUAUUACAAUUUACAACGUCUACAAUUUAUUAACACCGACGUGGUUUGUUGUUGUGGUAAGAAUAUUUUAUUAUUUUUAUAUCAAAAUAUUCAAAAUAAAUUUAAAAUAAAUCAGAAAAUUGAAAAGUCAACUCCUAUGAAGUCAUUGAUAUAUUUUCUUCCACAUAAACCUUGAAAAAAUUCAUUUUGAAUAACAAAAAUUUAAAAUGACCAUCCAAAACAAAAUUGUUUUGAUGACUCAUAAAAUCACUUCUAGUUUUAUGGUUUAGGGUUUAGAGUCUAGGGUUUAGAGAUUAGGGUUGUUAUUUAUUGGGGUUUAUUUUUAAAGUAUAAUUUUUGGGUAGUCUAGGGUAUAUGUUAGGCUUUAAAACCAUAAAACCUUUUAUAAACUUAAUUUUUUAAAUUGUAUAAUUUAAUUUUAUGGGUUUAGGGUAUUAAUUUUUAACGACGGUGGUUGGGUCGUGGAAUACAUAUUUUACGUCGUACAGUAAAACAUACGACAUGGUUUACGCUUUAAACGACGUCAUUUUAAUAUGUAAGUCGGUUUAUAUAAUUUACAACGUCAACGUCUUUAAUUUCUUAACACCGACGUGGUUUUUCAGUCGUCGUUAUAUAAAAAAUUCAAAAUAAAUUUAAAAUUAAUCCGAAAAAUGAACGGCCUUACGUUCUUAAUCCGAAAAAUGAAGUUUCCGUCGUGGAAUAUUAAAUUUACGUCGGUACUUGUAGAACUUUCGCCUUGGUUUUUCUUUCGACGUUUUAAAACGCGCGCGCUCUAAAAAUUUUCGCGCGACCUAAACUUUUUUAGAUUUGGCUCUUAUUCUUAUACUUCGAACCCUGAAACCUAAAANNNNNNNNNNNNNNNNNNNNNNNNNNNNNNNNNNNNNNNNNNNNNNNNNNNNNNNNNNNNNNNNNNNNNNNNNNNNNNNNNNNNNNNNNNNNNNNNNNNNNNNNNNNNNNNNNNNNNNNNNNNNNNNNNNNNNNNNNNNNNNNNNNNNNNNNNNNNNNNNNNNNNNNNNNNNNNNNNNNNNNNNNNNNNNNNNNNNNNNNNNNNNNNNNNNNNNNNNNNNNNNNNNNNNNNNNNNNNNNNNNNNNNNNNNNNNNNNNNNNNNNNNNNNNNNNNNNNNNNNNNNNNNNNNNNNNNNNNNNNNNNNNNNNNNNNNNNNNNNNNNNNNNNNNNNNNNNNNNNNNNNNNNNNNNNNNNNNNNNNNNNNNNNNNNNNNNNNNNNNNNNNNNNNNNNNNNNNNNNNNNNNNNNNNNNNNNNNNNNNNNNNNNNNNNNNNNNNNNNNNNNNNNNNNNNNNNNNNNNNNNNNNNNNNNNNNNNNNNNNNNNNNNNNNNNNNNNNNNNNNNNNNNNNNNNNNNNNNNNNNNNNNNNNNNNNNNNNNNNNNNNNNNNNNNNNNNNNNNNNNNNNNNNNNNNNNNNNNNNNNNNNNNNNNNNNNNNNNNNNNNCUGUUUUUGUUUAAAACCCGUCGUCUCAUGUUGUUUAUACCUUGCGAUUAGAUCAUGUAUAAUCUGCUAUAGUGAUGGUCAUGCCUGUAUUUUCACUUUUAUAUAGAUAAUAGGUUAUAGUGUCGGAGAUGGAUAAGUCAUGGAUGCACUCGGAUAGAAGAUCGAAGGCAUAUGAGUUUGGGGUGGAAGCAUUUUUGAACUUUGCUGUAGAAAAUCUUCUAACUACAACACAUAUCCGUUGUCCAUGUGUUAAAUGUGUUAAUUUGAAGUUGUUUGGGGUUGGAAUUAUAAGGGAUCACUUAUACUUUAAUGGAAUUGACCAAAGCUAUAAGAAUUGGACAUUUCACGGAGAACCUUGGGAAGCAACUACUAAUGCUAGCAGAAAUGUUGAAGAAGAUGAUGGCCAUAGUAGGUACAGUUUUGUGUCUGAAGAAAUUGAUAUGGAUGAUAAUGAUUUUGGUGAUUUUGGUUCGGAUCCGUAUGAGUUUGCCAAUGUGAUUGGGGAUGGAGAUCAACCAGUGUACCCUGGUUGUAGAAAGUACACGAAGUUAUCGGCAUUAGUGAAGUUGUAUAAUUUGAAGGCAAAACAUGGGAUGAGUGAUGUCUGUUUUACAGAAUUAUUGAUACUUCAAGGCGAUUUGCUUCCAGAAGGAAAUACAAUACCAACCUCCAUGUAUGAGGCUAAAAAGACUUUGUGUGCAUUGGGGCUGAGUUAUGAGAAAAUGCACGCAUGCCCCAAUGAUUGCAUCUUGUAUAGGAAGGAGUAUGAGGAUUCAACUAAUUGUCCUACUUGUGGUAUCUCAAGGUGGAAGGAAGGCAAAGAUGCAAUCUUGAAAGAGGGUGUGCCAGCGAAGGUGGUGUGGUAUUUUCCCCCAAUUCCAAGGUUUAAAAGGAUGUUUCAAUCACAUGAGACAGCUAAGAGUUUGACUUGGUGGCAUGUUGCUAGAAAAUCAAUUGACGGUCAGAUGUCUCAUCCGGCGGAUUCCCCGUCUUGGAAACUUCUUGAUGAUAAAUGGCCUGAGUUUGGUAAUGAGCCGAGAAACUUGAGAUUGGCUCUUUCAUCUGAUGGAUUCAAUCCCCACAGUUCUCUAAGUAGCAGAUAUAGUUGUUGGCCGGUUAUCUUAGUUACAUAUAAUCUCCCUCCAUGGCUGUGCAUGAAACGAAAGUUCAUGAUGUUAACCUUAUUGAUUUCCGAUCCUAAACAACCCGGAAAUGAUAUAGACGUCUACUUGGAGCCUUUGAUUGAUGAUUUAAAAUCCUUGUGGGUUGGGAUUAGAGGAGUGUAUGAUGCACAUAAUGGAGAAUACUUUACACUCAGAGCUGCAUUAAUGUGGACAAUUAAUGAUUUCCCCGCCUAUGGAAACUUAUCUGGUUGUGUUGUUAAAGGAUAUAAAGCUUGUCCAAUAUGCGGCGAUGAUACACCUAGUCAAACAAAUAUUUUUUGUUGACGACCCGAUGCAUCGUGGUUGGUCGUGUAGGCGUGUGAGUGUGUGUUUGUGUUUGUUUUUGUGUGUGUGUGUGUGUGUGUGUGUGGUGUGUGUGUGUGUGUGUGUACCAUUACUNNNNNNNNNNNNNNNNNNNNNNNNNNNNNNNNNNNNNNNNNNNNNNNNNNNNNNNNNNNNNNNNNNNNNNNNNNNNNNNNNNNNNNNNNNNNNNNNNNNNAUGUAAUUGGCAGUGUAUGACAUUAAUUUUGUAAUAUAUUGUAAUGUGAUUUCUUCACUUUCUACGUUCAAAUAAAACACGACGUUAUUGUGAAUCAGUUAUUCAGCAUAUUUACCGACGUCUUAAAGCAACGUAACAAUGAAGAACCACGACGCUAUUGUGAAGCAAUUAUUCAGGAUAUCACGUCGGUGAAGGAUAAAGAACCGCCAUGUAAUUCAAAAUAACACGACUCCAAUCCCAUAAUACCGACGUCUAAAAAACGAGAUAUGUAAUCUGAACGUUAAAAAAUACGACGUCAUCAUACAUUUUCCACGUCGCAAGUUCUUUUAUAAACGAAGAGGAACGAAAUUAAUUCCGACGGAAAUUCAUUAUAACCGCCGUCUAAUAACAAUUAAACGACGUUAUUUGUAAUACGGCUCCCAUCAUAAUCUACGCCGUCUAUAUGUUCUGUAAUACGGCUCUCAUUUAUUUGGAACCGACGUUGUUUAGACGUUCAACGUCGUCUAUAUUAUUAAGUGCGUCGUGAGUAAUGAAUACAUAUAAAUACAACGUCGACUAUAUAAAUGUAUACGUCGUAAAUAAUGACACUGACAACUAUUUCCACGUCAUCUUUUUUAGAUAAAAUCGAAGUGGAAAAUUUAUUUCACGACGGUUUUUUGUAAAUAAGAGACGUUGUAGAACUUUAGCAGACUAAACACGUCUGUUUUUAUUGUUUUCCGACGUUGUUGUAUUUAACAACGUCUAAUAUUUAUGGUCGUUGUUUGUUUCUGAAAAUAGGACGUAUAAAUUUUUUAAUACGACUCUCAUAUAUUUGUAACUGACGUUGUUUAGUUUUUCAACGUCUACUAUAGAAACACAUACGUCGUAAAUAAUGACACUGACAACUAUUUCCACGUCAUCUUUUAUCAAAAAAUCGAAGUGGAAAAUUAAUUGUACGACGGUUGUGUUUAUAUGUGCGACGUAGUAGGUAUCAAUAACAUCGUCUUCUAAUGUAUUUAAAGACGUCAUAUUUUUUAUUGUCGUGAAAAUUAUAUUUAACGUCGGCGUAUUUUUAUUGUCGUCGUUGUAUGUCUAUCUUGCGGCCUUGUUCUCUUAAUAUGUGUCAUAUUUUCCCUUUUUAACGACGGUCUUUUUAGAGAAUUGGUCGUCUAUUAUCAUCAUCGAUUGCUUUUUUUAGAUCUUUUUGCAGUACAAAGACGUCGUUUUGUAUUUUUUGAUGACGUUGUAUUGUUUAACAACGACGGUUAUUUAGCGUCGUGGUUUAUGAGGGAAAAGAUGACGGUGGAUUCCACGACCAUUGAAAAACCAAAUACACGACGGUGAUUUACCGUCGUCUUUUUGCUUUUUUGUAGUAGUGAUCGGAAACUUGACUAAUUAGAAUACAACAUAUGUCGAAAUAUUUUUAUCAUAAAUGGUCUCUAAGGUUCGUGAAAUUAUUAGCUUUAGUCCUUCAUGUUUUUUUGUGACAUCAUUGGUCCUUUAUGUUACUCCUCUUCACACAUCAAUUUGGUUCUGCCGUUUGGAUUCGUCAAAAUUUAUGUUAAAUUGAUGGCAUGACAUGUAUAUGGUGCCUACAUAUCCAAUGAGAUAAUGACCCGUGGAUCUAAGUAAAAAAUUUGUUUUAAAAAAAUAGUUUCAUAUUUAAAAUUUUUAAAGGGCGAAGACUCAUUGGGUAACUCGAAGUUUGGGUUGUUGAAGCCUUCAAGCAUGGUUUUGCUCACAAAAGAUUGGAACGCAAUGUGUUGGGUUGAGCACUGAAAACCAAAGAAUAUCAAAAAUGUAGUAGGGGGGAGAGAGAGAGAGAGANNNNNNNNNNNNNNNNNNNNNNNNNNNNNNNNNNNNNNNNNNNNNNNNNNNNNNNNNNNNNNNNNNNNNNNNNNNNNNNNNNNNNNNNNNNNNNNNNNNNACCUCAUGUCAGCACUUAAUAGAAAAUUUGACGGACCCUAACGGCAUGGAUCAAAUUGAUGUGUGGUGUGUAACAAAAAGGAUCAAUAAUGUCACAAAAAACAUAAAGGACCAAAGUUGAUAAUUUUGCGAACCUUAUACACCAUUUAUGAUAAAAACCCUAUAUUGUAUAAUUUUAGUGUGUUUUUUUCUUAAAUGCUAUUGAGAAGAGAUUUUAUAAAACUGCUAUAUAAAAGGUUCACCACAAUGCUAUAAAACAAUAGUAGAUUAUGGCUCUCAGAUGUUUUCAUCUUCUUAUUCAUCCAAGCAGAUCGAUAACAUAUGGUCACUACUGACUUUUUCUUGUAGUUCUCAACAUCCAUCUUUCAAGCCAUCAACCAAGUUGUUGCAUUGCUCCUCACUGUUAGAAAAGCCUCGUUUCCCUCCUCCUCCUCCAUUGAUUGAAGGAGAGACAACAAAAGCAACUUAUGAAACAAGCCCCUCAUUUCCUUGUUAAACAUAAAUCGACCCAUUAUUGAUGAGGACUGAGAAUCUAAGAGCACACUAGUAAUUAACCUGAGUGGGGAAUAUGGAUGAUGGAUCUCUCUCUCUCUCUCUCUCUCUUGAAAAAAUCAACUUCAUUAUCCUUGGUGAAUUUGUUCUGAAUUAGUCGUGUCCAGCUACAAGCAAUACUGUACGUAGUAUAUUAUUCUCUGCAUUUGUGCAUGCCAACAACAAACAAAUAUUAUUCUCUAUUAUAGCAUAUAGGCCGUCAUUUUCAAUCCUUAUAAGAGAAAACUUGCUUCGCCAUAAGAGUACGUAGCUUGGCAAGCAAGGUAAGGGUACUUCAAAAGAUUCCUUCCAUCAUCUAUAUAAGACACAUGUGACAUUGCAUGUCUCAUCAAUCAUGUUAAGAUAAAGCUAGCUGGCAAGGCAAAUUACCAACCUUUAUGCUCGAGUAUAUUAUUCCAAGCAGAUAUAAAUGUUAAUAUAUGUGAAGAAUAUUAUGAUCAAUAUAGAAUAUGUAUCAUGAUCAGUUAUGGUAUCGACUGUCAGAAAAUAUCAUCCGCAUAUGUGCAUACCAACAUUAUCGAAAGACAGUAGGAGUAUCGUCAUAUCCGAUACAAGUAUCGGAGCAUGGGUAAGAGUAUAUAUACAAGCAUACCCGUCCAAUUAGGAGAAUCAGUGCAACAUAGAUGAAAAGAAAUUAGAUGUGAUUUCACAUAUUUUUAAAGAAUAGGGGAAAUAAACCAAUUAAUCUCUUUUGUCUUCUCCAUACAUUUUUGGUUGUGAAUUUUGGUUUUCGAAGAAUUUGGCAUUUCAAGCAACUUGGAAAACAUUUUGAUGAUCCAUUGAACCUUGUUAAAGUCGAUAUUCAAUCUCUAUGGACUUUGGCCGAAAUGUCUCAUUUCAAUUGGAAAGUGACAUUGAGAUUUGAAAAGACUAGACAUUAAGGUGGCAAGAGAAGUCUAAAAGGAUCAAACAGAAAAAAAUAAUGAAAAAUUGAAAAUAACCUAGAAAGGGGAGAAAAAAUUAGUUGCAAUAGGGAUAAUAAUGUUUGAGUAAUGCUAAACGAACUCUAAAAUUAACUUAGUACACCCUACUAUCAAACUAUUUAUUGAAUUACUAAUUUACCCUAAUAUAAAAUGACCAAAAAGGAUAUAUUGAAUUGUGCAGCAAAUGUAAUUUUAAUAAGUACACAUUACUCACCAUAUUCAACCCUAAUAUUCGAUGGAGGCGACAUUGAAUGCUAUGAAUCCAACCCAAACCCACCACCACCGUCCCUCUCUCUCUCUCUCUCUCUCUCUCUCUCUCUCUCUCUCUCUCUCUCACAAAUUAUCUUAUUUGCUCUAAAUUUUUUGCAAUGAGUCAGAAUCUUCUAUGUGUAUGUGGCAUUCGUUCAUUAGACUUGGUUAAUGCAUUCAACCCACCCAAAACAAUAAUCAUUUGAUGUUCAUCCUCGAUGUUGGUGGUUUCAAGUGAGCAUGUUCCCAAACGGCUCUUACACUUGCCCACUAGAACUCCAGCUCCUCACCCUCUGAUGAAUCUAAUGACAAUUAUGUUGUUGUUUGCACCAUAAACACCAACUUCCAACAACUCCAAUACAACCUAUUUCUUCUUAAUUAGAUACCUUGGGGGUUGAUAGCAACCUCAAUAGUCUAAGAAACAAACCCACUUCGGAAUUUUCCUUCUUCCACUAGUUGAAGGGAGAUGGGUUCCAACACGAUAUUACGCGCUUAUUAGAAUCUUAUACUCGUCGAGUCUGGGUUGGCUGGUGAUAAGCAGGGGAAGGGUGGAGUUGGGUUGUGUUAGAGAGAGAGAGAGAGAGAGAGAGAGAGAGAGAGAGAGAGAGAAAGAGAAAGAGAGAGAGAAGGGCGGUAGUGGUUGGGUUGGGUUGGAUGCGAAAGGGCUUAAAUCAGAGGAGGAAGGACGGGUUUGGCUGGGUGGGUGACAGGACCCGACCCAAUUUCCGCUUUGGAAUCCGAGCUGAAUCCUGUGCGUGUCCGACACCUGGCGAAUGUCGGGCACGAAUGACCUUUUUACCCUUCUCUUUUCAAAUUCUUUUUUUUUUUAAACUUCCCUUAGACUUCUACCGAAAAUUCGACAGAGUCUCCCCUGUAUUUUGACCAAACCCAAAGUCUUCCACCUGUCAAACAGUCUCAAAUAACACACCAACUACCAGACUAACUCAACCAACAGAUCUCAACUCCAGUUUCUCAUGUUCAACAAGAUAUCAAAGCAUUUCUAUACAAAUUUACAGAACUAUGAGAAAGUUACAACGAGAUCCUACACUUUGGGGGUGGGGCGAAAGCUGGGAAGAUGGCCCGAGUGGUUUCCUUCGUACUUCUAUGGCCUGGGGGCGAAAAACAAGGUUAAAAUUGUGAGUGGACAAAAAUAAAAUUCUUUAAAACAAAAACAAGUUAGAACAUAAUAACCCCCGUUUUGAAAUACUAGGGAUAUAAAUCGUUAAUUUAGCUAUAUUUCAAUAUAAGGAAUUCAAUAAACAUGAAUAAAUAUACUGACGAAUAAACUUGCAUAACUGAUCAAAUAUAUAUAAAGAUAAUAACGCAUGAAUAUCAAGAAACUGGUAUAAAAUCACGGGAAAUCAUAACUGGAUAAAAGAGCUCAAAAUCCUUUGAAACUACCACCUAGAUGUACCCCUGUCAUAUCCGUCAAUUCCCCUGGCAGGUCUCGGGCGUCACGCAGUCUACCCGAGCCGCAAACUGGCGAAAUCAAGGGACUAUGAUCAGCCUGAUCCGCCGGCAGGUCUCGAUGACACCAAGUCGACUCGAGCCGCUCUGGCAGGAUGCAGGGGACCGCAGUCAGCCUGAUCCGCAAUCCUGGCAGGUCUCGGGGACACAGAGUCAGCCGAGCCGCAAAUCCUGGCAGGUCUCGGGACACCAAGUCUGCCGAGCCGCAAAUUCUGGCACUCACGGUCCGAGCGUCCCCGAAACUCGUGAGGCAAAGUCAAGUGCACUGACGUAACUGAAAUCAGACUGGAUGUUCGUAGACAUCGGUCCGACUGUGGGUAAUCACCAUAAAUAGAUGGGUACAUGGUGGUUUAACAAGAAAUUCUGAUAACUCUCUGAAAUCUGAUAAGUCUGAACUAAAUUACUAUCUUUGUAUCAAAAGUCUCAAGUUUACUGCUCAACCAAUAUUAUAAAAAUAAAGAUAUUUCACAAUGCAAAUCAUGCUUCGAAAUUACGUAAUAACACUUAUUCAAGAUCAAAUAGAAAAUAUAAUUAUAAAAUCUUUUAGGAAAGAAAAGUCCACUCACUGUUGGUCCGAGCUAUCUGGACCCUUCGAAGAUCCCUCAUGUGGGUCAACUGGACCUCUGGUGCCUUACUCGAUUGAUUUGGUGGAGAAUUGAAGGAGAACGAAGGAGAUGAAGUUUGGAUGAAAAACAGGCGGAAAUCGCCAGUUUCCGGCCAAUUCCCGGCGGUCCAAGGCCGGCGACGGGUCGAGGAAGGGAGGCGGCGGCGAGGCGGACCGAUUGACACCAACGGCGGAGGUCGCCGUGCCCUGUAGCGACGGCACGCUCGAUCUGAAACAGGGAGGGGGGCGGCGGUUGCGACGGGAGAGAGAGAGAGAGAGGAGAGAGAAAUGAGGAGAGAGAAGAGAGAAGGAAGAGAUAAAAUCUGACUUUUUUUUCAAAUUACCGUUUUGCCCUUCGAGGUAAUUUAAUCGUAUCUUCUUCAUUACAAUUCCAAUUCGGGUCUACUCCGUGUCUACGGACUCGUUUCGCCGUGCUCUACGCAACGGCGCAAGCGAAAUUCUCAAAUUCUUUCUUGAUCAAAAAGUCAAAUUUUCCCCUAUUAAAAUAUGCGAGGGCAAAAUCGUCUUUUGGGUAGAAUAAAGAAAUCCUAAUUUUUAGAUAUUUUAGUUUGGGUUAUUACAGUGGGGGGUGGAGAGAUGAUGGGAGGUCGAUUUAACAGGGUUAAGUGUUGUUAAGUGGUUUACCACAUGUCAAAAAAAUAGAAGGAAAACAUGUCGGGCACAUGGCAUUUGGUAACAGUAAAAUUGGACUCAUGAAUGAGUUAGGUGUUGUGUGAUAGAGUGUAUUAGGGUGUACCAUGGGUAUUUUUAGUAGUUAAAUAGGAUGUACUGAGUUAAUUUUAUAAUUUGAUUUAAAUAUUAGGGUAUACUUAGAUCAUAGGGUGUACUCAGUUAAUUUUAAGGUUUGUUUAGCAACAUUCUAAUGUUUUGUUAUCCCCGGUCAAUAAUUUUAUAUCGUGUGGCUUAGAAGGAGGCCUGUUAUCCAACUCAUCUGGUCCACCGUCCAUGAUAUGAACCCGACUUGAGAAUCUUUUGGUGAAGUAGAACAACCCAACUUGAGAGUUGAGGCAGCCAAACUAGAAGGGAAGCAUCCCCACUCCAGUCCCGCUCCCCAUGUGCCCAAUACUUUGCUUGUUUACUUCACCUUUUAAACCUUUUAGGAUUUUCCAUAGGCUAAGAGGAAAACAACAACAUUACGGCCCAGUUUACGAAUGGAUUCGAGGGGAAAUUACUUCCCAUGCCAUUUUUUAAGGGAUGGAAAAUGGAGAUUCAUUUCCCAUAUUUGAUAAUCCUAGGAAAGUAACUAAGAAAUACUACUUUAUUUCCUUUCACAUAUUUGGUUUGUGUAGGAAUGUAAAACAAAGUUAGUUUAAUUUUUCAAUUAUAUCCAUAUGAAAUUAAAUUUUAAAAAAAAUGUAUUUAAUGCUAUAUUGUUAAUGGGGACAAUAUGGUCAUGAAAAAUGUGUAUUUAAUGUUGGCUAAUUUUCUCAAACUUUCUCAUGUGCAAGACAACGAUUUCUCAUGCCUAGACUUACCAAAUAUGGGAAAGCAAUUGAUUUCUCAUCACCAAGCCUCCUUUCCCAUGAACCAAACAGGACCUACAAGUUAUUAGCUUCAAGCCUUCAAGGAUUUUCAUAACAAAUCUUCCAAUCUCACACAAAAAUAAAAAAGCAUCCAUGUAUGUAAUUUCUAGAUUAAAAUCUCACUUUUUAGGCAUUCCAUUUUCUUAGGAUUAGGUAUUACUACGCACGGACAAUCUUACGAUUAUCUGCAAUUCAUCCUUCAAUAGCUAUGGACGUUAUAUCAAAUCAACAAUAAGACGUACAUUUCUUCAAAGAACUAAAUCAUGCGGAUGUCAACUUGCUCUCACUUAUAUGUUUGUCUCUCCAUAUGAGGAAGGGUGUUUAGCUUAAGGUUUUAGGGCGCGGUUGUCUAAGAACAAUAAGGUGAACAUGUUUUGUCAAAGUACAUGGGAGACCUUUAUCUUCAAACACAAAAAAUGGCCAAAAUUAAAUUAGCAAGGAUCGACAUAUGGAUGUGAGCUUUUACACAUUGCCACUAAUUCUCUCCAUACUUUUGUUGAAAUCAUUUACAAAAUAAGAAAACUUUAGUAAUUGAAGCGAAAGAGAAGAAUUACCAGAACAGAAAAUAAGAAAAAAGAAGCACCUAACCCAAACUUUAAGUCACGAAUUUAACAGUUUACUUUUUAAAAAAAGUAAGUUACAAAACAAUCCCCUUAUUGAUGAGGAUUGAGAAUUUAAGAGCACUAAUAACUUGAGUGAGGAAUAUUGCACAUGGACGAUGGAUCUCUCUCUCUCUCUUUGAAAAAAAAGAAAAAAGAAACAAAAAUCAACUUCAUUAUCCUUAGUGAAUUUGUUCUGGAUUAGUUGUGUUGCAAUGGAACAUCGAACCUACCUAGCUAAAAGGAAAAAAGAAAGGCCACUACGACAGUACUGCAGUAUAUUAUUCCAAGAAGACAAAUGUAAACUAUAUACGUGAAGAAUAUCUAUUAUUGGUCGUCAUUUUCAAUCCUCAUAAAAGAAAACUUACUUCGCCAUAAUUUCAGGUUGUUCUCAAGGCAGGAAGGUAAGGACACUUGAAAAGAUUCCUUCUCAUCAUCUAUACAAGGAAAUGUGUUCUCAUCAAGCUAGGGGACAAGGCAAAUUAGCAACCUUUAUACUCGAUAUAUUAUUCCAAGCAGAUAUACAUGUGAAGAAUAUUAUGAUCUUGAUCAAUAUGGAAUCAGUGGGUGUAUCGAUCGACCAUCCAAAGAAAAAGGAUAUCCUCUGCAUAUAUGUGUGCAUGCCAACAACUAUAAAAGGAGACCAUGAGGCAAUGAGUUGAUCAUCAAAGCAAACACACAGAUAUCCCAACUAAAAAUCAUUCAGUGAGACAAUGGCUGGAACCAAUGAUAUUAAAAUUAAAGGGUUCGAUUUGAGCAAAAACAGCGGCAACACGUCCGGAUUAACCCACUUCGCCAACAGAGCUGACGAGGGCGACAAGGGCGACAAUAAAAUCGAGGUUGAGGAUGCUAAAGCGCAAGAUAACAAGGGAAACUUGAAAGUACUGACCGACUUCGCCCAACGUGGUAAGGUGGGCCAGUCGGAUCGCCAAGAAAUCACGGGGAGCAAGCCACUUCAGACGGCAGCAUGAAAUUGAUGAAGGCCAUACCAUAAUAAAAUAUCUACACUAAAAUAAGAGCUGAUGCAGUAUCUGAGGCUCCUUCCUUGGUUAGGCCUCAUUAUCAUGUGCAAUACUAAUAUUAUUAUUCUAAUAAAAUAAUGGUAGCUUAUUAUUAAAUAUAUCAAAAUUCUAUACGUAUAACUUUUAGAUUAUUGAUACUGAUGACAUACCAACAAGAGAAAACGAUUCAAAAGUCCUUUCUCCAAUUCGUGAUGUUACAAAAUGAGACGUCAAAUUUAAAAAUAUAGUUGCAUACGAGUAUAAACUGAACCAAUAAGCAAUGUAUGAGUGACCAAAGGUCUCAAACGAUGCAUUUAAGAAGAAGGGUACUAAAUUAAAAGAUGUACGCCAGUGAACUAUGGCAAUCUCUCGUUGCAUGCACGCAUAUGCAAUUGAAGAAGACCUAACUUAUAUCACGAAGAAGUGGAUGGGUCUUUACAUAUGAAGUUUUUAAAAUUAACACUACCGGAAGACAAUAGGAGUAUCGGCGUAUCUGAUACAAGUAUCGGAGUCUCGGAGUAUUAGAUUUGAGCAUACCUGUCCAAAUAGGAGUAUCGGUGCAACAUAGAUGAAAAGGAAUUGGAUGUGAUUUCACAUAUUUUUAAAGAACAGGGGAAAUAAACCAAUUAAUCUCUUUCGUCUUGUCCACACAUUUCUUGUUGCAAAUUUUGGUUUUCAAAAAAUUUGGCAUUUCAAGCAACUUGGAAAACAUUUUGAUGAUCCAUUAUUGAACCUCUAAAGUCGAUAUUCAAUCCCUAUCGACCUUGCUCAAAAAAUGUCUCAUUUCAAUUAGUGCAGAGAAAAAUAAAGGCAGAGUUGAAAAUAGAUUUUUCAGUUUGGAAAGUGACAUUGAGAUGUAAAAAGACUAGACAUUAAGGUGGCAAGAGAGAUCUAACAGGAUCAGACAAAAAAGGAAAAAAAAAUGAAUGAAAAAUAGAAAAUGCCCUAGAAAGGGGAGAACAACUUAGUUGCAAUGGGGAUAACAAUAUCUUGCUAUUACUGGUCAAUAAUUUUAUACCACGUGGCCUAGAAGGAGGCCUGUUAGUCCAACUCAUCUGGUCCACUUCCCAUUAUAUGAACCCGACUUGAGAGUUUUGGUUUUUUGGUUGAAGUAGAACAACCCGACUUGAGAAUUGAGGCAGCCAAACUAGAAGGGAAGCAGCCCACUCCACUCCCGCUCCCCAUGUGCCCAGUACUUCGCUUGUUUACUUCACCUUUUAAACCUUUUAGGAUUUUUUUUAUAGGAUAAGAGGAAAACGACGACAUUACAAGUUAUUACGCAUCAACGUAUGUAAUUUCUAGAUUAAAAUCUCACUUUUUACGCAUGUCAUUAUCUUAGGAUUAUGUAUUACUACGCACUGACAAUCUUACGAUUAUCUGCAAUUCAUCCUUCAAUGACCAAAGACGUUAUAUCAAAUCAACAAUAAGACAUACAUUUCUCCAAAUAACUAAAUUAUGUGGAUUUCAACUUGCUCUCAUUUAUAUGUUUGUCUCUCUCCUCCUAUUGAUUAGCCUCUCCAUAAGAGCAAAUAUGAAAAAAGAAGCUCCCAAUCCGAACUUUAAGUCACAAGUUUAACAGUUUACUUUUAAACAAAAGCAAGUUACGAAACAAUCCCCUGAUUUCCUUGUUAAACAUCAACCGACCCAUUAUUGAUGAGGAUUGAGAAUCUAAGAGCAUAUGGACGAUGGAUCUCUCUCUCUUUUUGAAAACAAAAACAAAAACAAAAAACAAAAAUCAACUUCAUUAUCCUUGGUGAAUUUGUUCUGGAUUAGUUGUUUUGAAUUAGUACAGCUUACGUACGCAAUGGAACAUCGAACUUAGCUAGCUAAAAGGAAAAAAGAAAGGCCACUACUACAGUACCGCAGUAUAUUAUUCCAAGAAGACAAAUGUAAACUAUAUACGUGAAGAAUCUCUAGUAUUGGUCGUCAUUUUCAAUCCUUAUAAAAGAAAGCUUGCUUCGCCAUAAUUUCAGGUUGUUCUCAAGGCAGGCAGAGAGAGUACGUAGCUUGGCAAGAAAGGUAAGGGCACUUCAAAAGAUUGUUUCUCAUCAUCUAUAUGAGGAAAUGUGUUGCCAUCAAGCUAGCGGACAAGGCAAAUUAGCAACCUUUAUACUCGAUAUAUUAUUCCAAGCAGAUAUACAUGUAAAUAUAUGUGAAGAAUAUUAUGAUCAUGAUCAAUAUAGAAUCUGUAUCAUGAUCAGAGGGUAUCGAUCCAGCAUCCAAAGAAAAAGGAUAUACUCUGCAUAUGUGCAUGCCAACAACUAUAAAAGGAGACCAUGAGGCAAUGAGUCGAUCAUCAACGGAAACACACAGAUAUCCCAACUAAAAAUCCAUCGUGAGACAAUGGCUGGAACCAAUGAUAUUAAAAUUAAGGGGUUUGAUUUGAGCAACAACAAAGGCAACACGUCGGGAUUAACCCACUUCGCCAACAGAGCUGACGGGGGCGACAAUGGCAACAAUAAAAUCGAGGUUGAGGAUGCUAAAGGGCAAGGGAACACGGGAAACUUGAAAGUACUGACCGACUUCGCCCAACGCGGUAAAGUGGGCCAGUCGGAUCGCCAAGAACUACUCAAACCUCAGGCAUGAAAUUGAAGAAGGCCAGACCACAACAACUUGUCUGCUUGAUAGAUAUAUGUGCUAAAUUAUCUACACAAAAAUAAGAGCUGAUGUUUUAUCUGAGGCUCCUUCCUUGGUUAGGCCUCGUUAUCAUGUGUAAUAUUAAUAUUAUUAUUCUAAUAAAAUAAUGGUAGCUUAUUAUUAAAUAUAUCAAAAUUCUAUACGUAUAACUUUUAGAUUAUUGAUACUGAUGUCAACAAGAGAAAAUGAUUAAAAAGUCCUUUCUCCAAUUCGUGAUGUUACAAAAUGAGACUUCAAAUUUUAAAACUAUAGUUGCAUACGAGUACAAAACUGAACCAAACAAUGUAUGGGCCAGAGUGACCAAGGAUGUACGCCAGUGAACUAAUGGCAAUCUCUCGUUGCAUGCACGCAUAUGCAAUUGAAGGAGGCAUUAUCUGAGGCUCCUUCCUUGGCUAGGCCUCAUUUUCAAUUUUGAUUUCAACUUUGAUUUUGCUUAAACUUUGAUUUUGAGCUAGACUGUGAUUUCGACUUUGAUCUCCCAAUUCGUGCCUUAAGAAUCAGUUUCUCCCAACUCUAUUUACCAAAACCGAAAACUCUGAACUUUUCAAUUCGUCUGGCUACUCUCAGGGUUUCAUGCCUUAGUUUCCUCUCGCCAAAAAGCCAAAAAGACUUGGCUUUCAUGUAAUGCUAUACUCCUCGAUUGAACAAGCCGCGUCUUCAAAUUCAGCUUUCUCACUUCCUUUCUCUUUACUUUCUUUCUUUUGUUUUCCGGCUGGGAAAAUCAUGGAAGCAUUACAAAUUUAAGAGAAUAUUCUAGUAUUAGGGUCCAAACUGUACUAUUUAGGUAUUUUCAUUCUGAUUAAGAGUUCUUUUCUAGAAAUUUGGGGAAGAAAAAAUAGAGUUUCUGUUUUAGUGUUUGAUUUUCAUUACAGUGAAUUAUGUGAAACCGAAAUGUUUCUUGUCUGAUUUCAUCACUGCUUUCAAAUUGCAAAUUAAGGAUUUGAAGGUUAACAAUGCCCGUCUUUAACAAUGUCGCAUUUCAAUUAGUACAAAAGAAAAAUAAAGGCAUAGUUGAAAAUAGAUUUUUCAGUUUCGAAAGUGACAUUGAGAUUUAAAAAGACUAGACAUUAAGAUGGCAAGAGAGAUCUAAAAGGAUCAAACAAAAAAAGUGAAUGAAAAAUUGAAAAUGCCCUAGAAAGGGAGGAAAUCUUAGUUGCAAUGGGGAUAACAAUGUUUUGCUAUCCUCGAACAAUAAUUUUACACCACGUGACCUAGAAGGAGGCAUGUUAAUCUAACUCAUCUGGUCCACCGUCCAUGAUAUGAACCCGACUUGUGAGUUUUUUUUUUUUUUUGUUGAAGUAGAACAACCAAACUUGAGAGUUGAUGUCACAUCUCAGGAUCGGCUUCACCGUAGCACGAUAUUGUCUGCUUUGGGCCCCCUCGCUGUCCUCGCGGUUUUGUUUCUAGGAGCUCACGAGCAACUUCUCAGUUGGUCACUCAUCUUAGGAUUGCUCUGGCCCAAACUCACUUAACUUCGGAGUUCUCAUGACUCCGAAGCUAGUGAGCUCCUAAAAGGCCUCGUACUAAAUGGAAGUGGGCAUAUAUAUAUAAGGCACAACACCCCAUCUUCGUUGGUUGAUGUGGAAUGUUACAAUCCACCCCCCUUAGAGGUCUGACUUCCUCGUCGGCACACUCUCACCACACGGCAGAGUGGCUCUGAUACCAAACUGUCACAUCCCGGGAACGGCUCCGUCGUAGCACGAUAUUGUCCGCAUUGGGCCAACCUUUCUGCCCUCACGGUUUUGUUACUGGGAGCUCACGAGCAACUUCCCAGUGAAUCACUCAUCCUGGGAUUGCUCUAGCCCAAACUCGCUUCACUUCGGAGUUCCUAUGACUCCGAAGCCAAUUAGCUCCCAAAAGACCUCGUGCUAGAUAAAGGUGGGCACGUACAUAUAAGGCACAUCACCUUCUCUUCGUUGAUCGAUGUGGGAUGUUACAGUUGAGGGCUCCGUUGGUCGAUGUAGGAUGUUACAGUUGAGGCAGCCAAACUAGAAGGGAAGCAACCCAACUCCACUCCCUCUCCCCAUGUGCCCAGUUCUCUGCUCGUUUACUUCACCUUUUAAACAUUUUAGGAUUUUCCAUAAGCAAAGAGGAGAACGACCACAUUACGGUCUCGUUUGGUUCACGAACAGAUUUAAGGGGAAAUAACUUCUCAUGUCAUUUCUCAAGGGAUGAGAAAUGGAGAUUCAUUUCCCAUAUUUGGUAAUCCUAGGAAAAUAACAAAGAAAUACCACUUUAUUUCCUUUCACAUGUUUGGUUUGUCUAGGAAUGUAAAACAAAGUUUGUUUAAUUUUCCAAUUAUACCGAUAUGAAAUCAAAUAAAAAAAGAAUAUUUAAUGUUAUAUUGUAAUUCUAAACUGUUAAUAGGGACAAUAUGAUCAUGAAAAAUGUGUAUUUAAUGUUGGCUCAUUUGCUUAUUUUCCCAAACUUUCACAUGAGGAGGAAAACAAAACCCAAGGGGGGAGGAUGGCUUCACUUUCCCCUCUACUUUCCCAUGUACAAGGCAACGAUUUCUCAAGUCUGGACUUACCAUACAUGGGAAAGAAAUUAAUUUCUCAUCCCCAAGUCAUUUUUCCCAUAAACCAAACGGAGCCUACAGGUUAUAAGCUUCAACCUUUAAGGAUUUUCAUAACAAAUCUUGCAAUCUCAUACCAAGGAAAUAAAAAUAAAAAAAAGGAUCCAUGCGUGUAAUUUCUAGAUUAAAAUCUCACUUUUUACGCAUGCCAUUAUCUAAGGAUUAGGUAUGACUACACACGAACAAUCUUACAAUUAUCUGCAAUUCGUCCUUCAAUGGCCAAAGACGUUAUAUCAAAUGAACAAUAAGACGUACAUUUCUUCAAAGAACUAAAUUAUGUGGAUUUCAACUUGCUCUCACUUAUAUGUUUCUCUCUCUCCUCCUAUUGUUUAGCUUAAGGUUUUAGGGCGUGGUUGUCUAAGAACAAUAAGGUAAACAUGCUUACAAAAAAAGAUGGACAGCAAGGAUGGACAUAUGCGAAUGUGAGCUUUUACACAUUGCCACUAAUUUUCUCCAUGAUUUUGUUGAAAUCAUUAACAAAAUAAGAAACUUUAGUAAUUGAAGCGAAAGAGACUAAUUAUCAGAAGAGAAAAUAUGAAAAAAGAAGCUCCCAAUCCAAACUUUAAGUCACAAGUUUAACAGUUUACUUUAAAACAAAAGCAAGUUACGAAACAAUCCCCUGAUUUCCUUGUUAAACAUCAACCGACCCAUUAUUGAUGAGGAUUGAGAAUCUAAGAGCAUAUGGACGAUGGAUCUCUCUCUCUUUUUGAAAACAAAAACAAAAACAAAAAUCAACUUCAUUAUCCUUAGUGAAUUUGUUCGGGAUUAGUUGUGUUGAAUUAGUACAGCUUACUUACGCAAUCGAAUAUCAAACCUAGCUAGCUAAAAAGAGAAAAAGAAAGGCCACAACGACAGUACUGUAGUAUACGUGAAGAAUCUUAUGAUCUAUAAUAUUCUGUAUUAUUGGCCAUCAUUUUCAAUCCUUAUUAAAGAAAACUUGCUUCGCCAUAAUUUCAAGUUGUUCUGAAGGCAGGCAUAGAGAGCACGUAGCUUGGCAAGGGAGGUAAGGGCACUUCGAAAGAUUCCUUCUCAUCAUCUAUACAAGGAAAUGUGUUCUCAUCAAGCUACGGGACAAGGCAAAUUAGCAACCUUUAUACUCAGAUAUAUUAUUCCAAGCAGAUAAACAUGUAAAUAUAUGUGAAGAAUAUUAUGAUAAUGAUCAAUAUAGAAUCUGUAACAUUAUCAGAGGGGUAUCGAUCGACCAUCCAAAGAAAAGGAUAUCCUCUGCAUAUGUGCAUGCCAACAACUAUAAAAGGAGACCAUGAGGCAAUGAAUCAUCAAAGCAAAGACACAGAUAUCCCAACUAAAAAUCAAUCAGUGAGACAAUGGCUGGAACUGGAACCAAUGAUAUUAAAAUUAAAGGGUUCGAUUUGAGCAACAACAGCGGCAACACGUCGGGAUUAACCCACUUCGCCAACAGAGCUGAUGGGGGCGACAAGGGCGACAAUAAAAUCGAGGUUGAGGGUGCUAAAGCGCAAGAUAACAAGGGAAACUUGAAAGUACUUACCGAUUUCGCCCAACGCGGUGAAGUGGGCAGGUCGGAUCGCCAAGAACUUCUCAAGCCUCAGGCAUGAAAUUGAAGAAGGCCAUACCAUAUAUGUGCUGAAUUAUCUACACAAAAAUAAGAGCUGAUGUUUUAUCUGAGGCUCCUUCCUUGGUUAGGCCUCGUUAUCAUGUGUAAUAUUAAUAUUAUUAUUCUAAUAAAAUAAUGGCAGCUUAUUAUUAAAUAUAUCAAAAUUCUAUACGUAUAACUUUUAGAUUCUUGAGUGGGAAACCCUAGCUGCAUUCUGGUCCCUUUUCUUCUUGCCGACAACCAACCACAAGGAAACUAAAGGGGGAGGUGGCCACUGCCCCUCCCCCCCUUCGCCCAUCUUCCCUUUCUCUCCUCAUCUUCCCUUCUUUUUCUCCCAUCUUUUCCCUUCCUCUUAUGCCCUCUUCUCUUCCCAUUCCCUUUCCCAUAUAGUCUAGAUCUAUUUGGAUCUAGGUUUUGUUUGUUUGUUUGUUUGGUUUGGUUUGGUUGUUUUUGCAGUAUUCUAGGUGACUGGUAGUGACGUUGGAUUGUGUCUAUUAUCGGGAGAGUUGUGAUACCUAGUGGCUGAUGUUUUGUCUCUGUUUCAACGACGGCGGCAGUAGCGACACUAGUGAUAGUUAUUGGAUGUGGUGCUCUUCUUUAUUCUGCACUUACCGAAGAACUAUGCUUGGUCAUAGGAGGUUUUCUUUGUCAGAUUCUGAGUUGAAGUGGAGUGCUUCUUAGGGGUCCUUUUAUUGUUGCUUCUAUGUUCCUCCUCUGUGUUCUCUCCUGUUUUCUGUUAUGGUAUGCCUUGUAGUUUGUAUGGGUGUCAAAAUACUAUGAUUUUGCUCAUAGAAGGCUUCUUUUGACAGUUGGGAUAUUCUACGAUCCUCUUCUGUGGGUUUACUAUUUGGGGUUUCUGUCGUUCUCUCAUGUGGGUGUACUAUGUUGGUAUCUAGUUGAGGUUUUCGUCGGAGUUCUUUUUGUUAGUUUUCGUUUUUGAUUUGUUCUUUUAUUGUAAUGGUCCAAAGCGACCAGAAUUAAACUCUCUUGUUAGUCCAUGACAUGUGUGGUACUCUUUUCUCCCCGGGGUUUGUCCCUUGAGAUUGCCCUAGGAAGGUUUUAACGAGGCCACUAUAUCAUGUUGCUCAUUGUACGUCUUUGGUUCUAUUAAUUAAUUCUCUUUCUUAAAAAUAACAAAAAUAAAUAAAUAAAUAAAUAAAAAUUUAGAUUAUUGAUAACGAUGUCAACAAGAGAAAAUGAUUAAAAAGUCCUUUCUCCAAUUCGUGAUGUUACAAAAUGAGACUUCAAAUUGUAAAACUAUAGUUGGAUACGAGUAUAAAACUGAACCAGGCAAUGUAUGGGCCAGAGUGACCAAGGUUGUACGACAGUGAACUAAUGGCAAUUUCUCGUUGCAUGCACGCAUAUGCAAUUGAAGAAUGCCAUAAUAAUAUGUGUUUUUACUAAAUUAUCUACACUAAAAUAAAAACUGAGGCAUUAUCUGAGGCUCUUUCCUUGGCUAGGCCUCAUUUUCAAUUUUGAUUUCAACUUUGAUUUCGCUUAAACUUUGAUUUUGAGCUAGACUGUAAUUUCGACUUUGAUUCUGAUUCUCUCCCAAUUCAUGCCUUAAGAAUCAGUUUCUCCCAACUCUAUUUACCAAAACCAAAAACUCUAAACUUUUCAAUUCGUCUGGGUACUCUCAGAGUUUCAUGCCCUAGUUUCCUCUCGCCAAAAAGCCAAAAAGACUUGGCUUUCAUGUAAUGCUAUACUCCUCGAUUGAACAAGCUGCGUCUUCAAAUUCAACUUUCUCACUUCCCUUCUCUUUACUUUCUUUUCUUUUGUUUUCCAGCCCGGAAAAUCAUGGAAGCAUUACAAAUUUAAGAGAAUAUUCUAGUAUUAGGGUCCAAACUGUACUAUUUAGGUAUUUUCAUUCUGAUUAAGAGUUCUUUUCUAGAAAUUUGGUGAAGAAAAAAUAGAGUUUCUGUUUUAGUGUUUGAUUUUCAUUAUAGUGAGUUAUGUGAAAUCGAAAUGUUUCUUGUGUGAUUUCAUCACUGCUUUCAAAUUGCAAAUUAAGGAUUUGAAGGUUACAAAUUAUUAUGUAGAUAAUUUUUGGGAAUUUAAGAGGCAGUACAGUGUUUGUAUAAGUCUUGAGAUAGACCAAUUUACCACAUGCUCGAUUUCUAUAUAUAAAUUUUUUUAAAUCAUUCUUUUGUUUUAUUUAUUCUGUUAAUUUGUCAUAAUGUGUAAUAUGAUAGCUUCUAAUUCUUUCUUCCUAUUUCUUCUUUUUUGUUAUUCUCUCCCAAAUGAAAUGAAGACCUAACUUAUAUCAAGAAGAAGAGGAUGGAUCCUUACAUAUGAAGAUUUUAAAAUUAACAUUAUUGGAAGACAGUAGGAGUAUCGGCAAUUUGAUACAAGUAUCGGAGUAUCAAAUACGAGCAUGCCCGUCUUUAACAAUGUCUCAUUUCAAUUAGUACAAAAGAAAAAUAAAGGCAGAGUUCAAAAUAGAUUGUUCAGUUUCGAAAGUGACAUUGAGAUUUAAAAAGACUAGACAUUAAGAUGGCAAGAGAGAUCUAAAAGGAUCAAACAAAAAAAAUGAAUGAAAAAUUGAAAAUGCCCUAGAAAGGGAGGAAAUCUUAGUUGCAAUGGGGAUAACAGUAUUUUGCUAUCCUCGAUCAAUAAUUUUAUACCACGUGACCUAAGGAGGCAUGUCAAUCUAGCUCAUCUGGUCCACCGUCCAUGAUAUGAACUCGACUUGAGAGUUUUUUUUUUUUUUUUUUUUUUUUUUUGGGGUUGAAGUAGAACAACUAGACUUGAGAGUUGAUGUCACAUCUCAAGGUCGGUUCCACCGUAGCACGAUAUUGUCUGCUUUGGGCCCCCUCUUUGUCCUCGCGGUUUUGUUUUUAGGAGCUCACGAGCAACUUCCCAGUUGGUCACCCAUCUUGGGAUUGCUCUAGCCCAAACUCACUUAACUUCGGAGUUCUCAUGACUUCGAAAUCAGUGAGCUCCCAAAAGGCCUCGUGCUAAAAGGAGGUGGGCAUAUACAUAUAAGGCGCAACACCCCCUCUCCGUUAGUCGAUGUGGAAUGUUACAAUCCACCCCCUUUAGAGGUCCGACGUCCUCGUCGGCACAGUCUCACCACACGGCAGAGUGGCUCUAUGCCAAAUUGUCGCAUUCCGGGAUCGGCUCCGUCGUAACACGAUAUUGUCCGCGUUGGGUCAACCUCUCUGCCCUCACGAUUUUGUUUCUGGGAGCUUACGAGCAACUUCCCAGUAGAUCACUCAUCCAAACUCGCUUAACUUCGGAGUUCCCAUGACUCCGAAGCCAGUGAGCUCCCAAAAGACCUCGUGCUAAAUGGAGGUAGGCAUGUACAUAUAAGGCACAUCACCUCCGCUCCGUUGGUCGAUGUGGGAUGUUACAGUUGAGGGCUCCGUUGGUCGAUGUACGAUGUUACAGUUGAGGGCUCCGUUGGUCGAUGUAGGAUGUUAUAGUUGAGGCAGCCAAAAUAGAAGGGAAGCAACCCUACUCCACUCCCUCUCCCCAUGUGCCCAGUUCUCUACUCGUUUACUUCACCUUUUAAACCCCUUCGUACUUGAAGACCUGGCUGGCAAUUUGAUUGAAGCGAAAGAGACUAAUUAUCCAUGCUUUUGUUGAAAUCAUUAACAAAAUAAGAAACUUUAGUAAUUGAAGCGAAAGAGACUAAUUAUCAAAACAGAAAAUAUGAAAAAAGAAGCUCCCAAUCCGAACUUUAAGUCACAAGUUUAACAGUUUACUUUAAAACAAAAGCAAGUUACGAAACAAUCCCCUUAUUUACUUGUUAAACAUCAACCGACCCAUUAUUGAUGAGGAUUGAGAAUCUAAGAGCACAUGGACGAUGGAUCUCUCUCCCUUUUUGAAAACAAAAACAAAAACCAACUUCAUUAUCCUUAGUGAAUUUGUUCUGGAUUAGUUGUGUUGCAAUGGAACAUCGAACCUACCUAGCUAAAAGGAAAAAAGAAAGGCCACUACGACAGUACUGCAGUAUAUUAUUCCAAGAAGACAAAUGUAGACUAUAUACGUGAAGAAUAUCUAGUAUUGGUCGUCAUUUUCAAUCCUCAUAAAAGAAAACUUACUUCGCCAUAAUUUCAGGUUGUUCUCAAGGCAGGAAGGUAAGGACACUUGAAAAGAUUCCUUCUCAUCAUCUAUAUAAGGAAAUGUGUUCUCAUCAAGCUAGGGGACAAGGCAAAUUAGCAACCUUUAUACUCGAUAUAUUAUUCCAAGCAGAUAUACAUGUGAAGAAUAUUAUGAUCUUGAUCAAUAUGGAAUCUGUAUCAUGAUCAGUGGAUGUAUCGAUCGACCAUCCAAAGAAAAAGGAUAUCCUCUGCAUAUAUGUGUGCAUGCCAACAACUAUAAAAGGAGACCAUGAGGCAAUGAGUUGAUCAUCAAAGCAAACACACAGAAAUCCCAACUAAAAAUCAAUCAGUGAGACAAUGGCUGGAACUGGAACCAAUGAUAUUAAAAUUAAAGGGUUCGAUGUGAGCAACAACAGCGGCAACACGUCGGGAUUAACCCACUUCGCCAACAGAGCUGCCGAGGGCGACAAGGGCGACAAUAAAAUCGAGGUUGAGGAUGCUAAAGGGCAAGGGAACACGGGAAACUUGAAAGUACUGACCGACUUCGCCCAACGCGGUAAAGUGGGCCAGUCGGAUCGCCAAGAACUUGUCAAACCUCAGGCAUGAAAUUGAAGAAGGCCAUACCAUAACCACUUGUCUGCUUGAUAGAUAUAUGUGCUAAAUUAUCUACACAAAAAUAAGAGCUGAUGUUUUAUCUGAGGCUCCUUCCUUGGUUAGGCCUCGUUAUCAUGUGUAAUAUUAAUAUUAUUAUUCUAAUAAAAUAAUGGUAGCUUAUUAUUAAAUAUACCCAAAUACUAUACGUAUAACUUUUAGAUUAUUGAUACUGGUGUCAACAAGAGAAAAUGAUUAAAAAGUCCUUUCUCGCAUUCGUGAUGUUAGAAAAGAUACUUCAAUUUCAAAACUAUAAAUUGCACACGAGUACAAAACUGAACCAAAUAUGAAGUAAUGUAUCGGAAACUUGACUAAAUAGAAUACAACAUAUAUAUCGAAAUAUUUUUAUUAUAAAUGGUCUCUAAGGUUCGUGAAAUUAUUAGCUUUAGUCCUUCAUGUUUUUUUGUGACAUCAUUGGUCCUUUAUGUUACUCCUCCUCGCACAUCAAUUUGGUUUUGCCGUUUGAAUUCGUCAAAAUUUAUGUUAAAUUGAUGGCAUGGCAUGUAUAUGGUGCCCACAUAUCCAAUGAGAUAAUGACCCGUAGAUCUAAGUAAAAAAUUUGUUUUAAAAAAAUAGUUUCAUAUUUAAAAUUGUUAAAGGGCGAAGACUCAUUGGGUAACUCGAAGUUUGGGUUGUUGAAGCCUUCAAGCAUGGUUUUGCUCACAAAAGAUUGGAACGCAUUGUGUUGGGUUGAGCACUGAAAACCAAAGAAUAUCAAAAAUGUAGAGAGAGAGAGAGAGAGAGNNNNNNNNNNNNNNNNNNNNNNNNNNNNNNNNNNNNNNNNNNNNNNNNNNNNNNNNNNNNNNNNNNNNNNNNNNNNNNNNNNNNNNNNNNNNNNNNNNNNGGGUGGAGUGGGGGUGGGGUUGGGGUGUGGGUUGCUGCUGGGGGAGACGGAAGGGGAAGGGAGGGGAACGAAGGAGAAGGGGAGGGGUGGCUGUAGGUUUUAUUUAUUUAUUUUAUAUUUAUAAAUUUAAAAUUUGAUGUUUUAUUCUUAAUCUUUUAAAUGGAUUUUAUGUUUAAAAUUAUUGUAUUAUAUUUGAAGACACGUGACUCUAAAUGAUUGGAUGUGUGGACUUCACAUAUAUCUCAUGUCAGCAACUUAAUAGAAAAUUUGACGGACCCUAACGGCAGGGAUCAAAUUGAUGUGUGGUGUGUAACAAAAAGGAUCAAUAAUGUCACAAAAAACAUAAAGGACCAAAGUUGAUAAUUUUGCGAACCUUAUACACCAUUUGUGAUAAAAACCUUAUAUUGUAUAAUUUUAGUGUGUUUUUUUCUUAAAUGCUAUUGAGAAGAGGUUUUAUAAAACUGCUAUAUAAAAGGUUCACCACAAUGCUAUAAAACAAUAGUAGAUUAUGGCUCUCAGAUGUUUUCAUCUUCUUAUUCAUCCAAGCAGAUCGAUAACAUAUGGUCACUACUGACUUUUUCUUGUAGUUCUCAACAUCCAUCUUUCAAGCCAUCAACCAAGUUGUUGCAUUGCUCCUCACUGUUAGAAAAGCCUCGUUUCCCUCCUCCUCCUCCAUUGAUUGAAGGAGAGACAACAAAAGCAACUUAUGAAACAAGCCCCUCAUUUCCUUGUUAAACAUAAAUCGACCCAUUAUUGAUGAGGACUGGGAAUCUAAGAGCACACUAGUAAUUAACCUGAGUGGGGAAUAUGGAUGAUGGAUCUCUCUCUCUCUCUCUCUCUCUUGAAAAAAUCAACUUCAUUAUCCUUGGUGAAUUUGUUCUGAAUUAGUCGUGUCCAGCUAAAAGCAAUACUGUACGUAGUAUAUUAUUCUCUGCAUUUGUGCAUGCCAACAACAAACAAAUAUUAUUCUCUAUUAUAGCAUAUAGGCCGUCAUUUUCAAUCCUUAUAAGAGAAAACUUGCUUCGCCAUAAGAGUACGUAGCUUGGCAAGCAAGGUAAGGGUACUUCAGAAGAUUCCUUCUCAUCAUCUAUAUAAGACACAUGUGACAUUGCAUGUCUCAUCAAUCAUGUUAAGAUAAAGCUAGCUGGCAAGGCAAAUUACCAACCUUUAUGCUCGAGUAUAUUAUUCCAAGCAGAUAUAAAUGUUAAUAUAUGUGAAGAAUAUUAUGAUCAAUAUAGAAUAUGUAUCAUGAUCAGAGGGUAUCGACCGUUAAAAAAAAGAAAAAAAAGAAAGAAAAAAAAAGGGGUCUUUAGAUCGAAGCCCAAAAAUGUGCCUUUCAUUAGGUUUAACCCAUGUCUUUUCAGUUUUUGAUCUAGAUCCACUAAUUAUUAUAUCUCAUUUUCAUUACCUAUUUUGAAUUAUGAAUUAGGUUUGAACAAUCAUAAAUAUAGAGUACUGCUGUUUGCACCUUUGUCAUAUUUCUUCAUCUACCGUGUAAAUUUGAAAAACACAAAACCUAUCUUUCCACUCACUAUUAUUCCUAAAUUACCAUUUAAUUAUUAAUUCAAGCAAACUCUCUAUCCUCUUUCUCUUCCUUUCCUUUCCUUCUCUCUUCUCUCUCUCUGUCUCUCUCUGUCUGCACCAGUUUUCUUCUUCCUCUUUAUUUCCUUAUCUCUUCUCUCUAUGUUUCUUCUUCUUUCUCUGCGCCAUGUUUGGCUAUAACCACACUACUGGCAAAAAAUUUGGAUUUAACCCAUAUAUGUCCCUCACUGCUGAACUUUUCUGGUUCUGCCACUGACCCCCGCCAUGAAUUUGAUAUUCCCACCCUAACCCCGCGCCUCCUCCGAUGGGUGUGCUGAGAAAUUACAAGGAGGGUGUUUGGGGUAUGAUGGCAGGGAUGAUGGAGAAGGAAGGAAGGGAUGGUGGGUUUGGAUUUCGAACAAAAAAUAAAAAAUAAAUACGGAUUUAGGUGUGGGUGAGAGAGACGGAGAGAGUUGUAAAUUUGUCCUUAGAAGUCAUUUUGUGAAGGAAUAAAUUUGUCUUUAAAAUUUUAAAAAUAAGAUGAAUGAGGAAAUAGAACAAGUGGGUGCAAUAGUAGCACUCCAAAUAUAUUCGCAAGUAUAAUAUAUGAAAAUAAUAGAAGUCAUAUUACGCAUAUGCAGUAAUAUAAAAUACCUAGAAUAUAUGUUUGGAAGACAAAAUAAUAAACCUAGAACUAGACCAUAGGUUGAAAAACAUAGGAUCUACCUUGAAUAGGAUUAAAAAAUUACACCAACAACAUAUCUAUGUCAUGGGAACACUUGUAAGUUGUGUAUAUUUCAUCACCUCCAAGACCUAUACACUGAGAACAACAAAUAUAAUGCACCACAUAAUAUUGUAGGGUGAGAAAACUCAUAAAUCUGAUCUACCUACAACAUAGGAUUAAAAAAUUACACGAACAACAUACUUACACUGUUGGAACACUCGUGUAUAUUUCAUCACCUUCACAAUAGGUAUCAAAACCCUCCAUGAGAACACUCGUGUACUUGCAACAGACCUACACCUUGGGAACACUCGUGUACAUACACUUACCUAUAUUUACAACAUCUACCUACACCAUGAGAACACUCAUAUGCAUACAACUUACAUAUAUUUAUAACAUAUACCUACACCAUAAGAACACUCGUACAUACGACACACCUAUACUUACAAAUUACAAUGCACUUAUCCUUACAACAUAUAUACCUACAUCAUGGGAAUACUCGUGUAUAUUUGAACACAUGGACAUGGUUCAUGUGAAGCAAAAAGAUAUAGAGGGAAAAAAAAGAGACCGAAUACGCAAAAUGAAAAGUUACCAAAGUGACAAACUAAUAUUAAAUUAUUAAAAAGGUGAAAUCUAAUAAUUAUUUACCUAAAAUAAAUAUUCAAUGAAAUAAUAAUUCAGGAAUUGACAAUAUAAAAGUUAUUGAGGGUAAAAAAGGCAUUAAAAGUUUCAAAAACGGAAACCAUAAAUCUUGGUUGACUCGUCUCAAUAUAGUAAAUUUGCUGUCGUGGAAAAAUACUCAAUGAGCUUACAUCAAAAAAUGAAAUCACAAGGAUUAUUCCUAAUAAACAUACUUUUGGGUUUGUAUCUAAUUUUCCUAAUAAACCUUAAUACUUUGGGUUUGUAUCAAGUGAAACACAAAAGUUUGAAUCUUUCUGGUAAAAAAGAAAGUACUAGUCCUGAUUAUUCAGAAUUAAAUAGAAUCAUAUAUACGGGUCAUUGUAAUCUCAUAUUUCCUGCCAUUCUCCAUGAUAAUUUUGAUUUUUUUUUUAAUUGACAAAGAGGCAAAGAAAUAGAUUCAUCAUUCCAUUGUAACUAUCUCUAGGUAGUUGUUGACUCCGUGUGGAUCCUAGUUUUCUUGAGAUAGUCAUUUUUUGCCUUAAUGAACCCACUCAACACAAUUAGUGAAAUCUGAAAAAUCCAAGAAAUGAAGAAUUUCUUCUUGGAUCAGUCUUUGCAUUCUUUUCUUAGACACAUGCCCUAAUCUUUUGUGCCAUAGUUUUGCAGACUUCUCAUUAUCUAGUGGUCGUUUUUGGCCUAUGGGUUCAAUGUUAAAAGCCACAUUGUUACUUGCAAGGUUUAAGCAAAACAAACCAUCAACCAAAGAGCCAUUGUCCACUGAACUUUUAUUGAAUAUCAAAUCAAAUCCUAUUUCAGAGAAAGCAAAAUUGAAAAGUUCCCUAGUUCAUCUAGAAACUGAAAUCAAACUCCUUCUCAUAGAAGGUACAUAAGCAACAUCUUUCAAAAUUAAAUUAAAGUCUGAAACUAAUUGAAGCCAACUGAGCCUAUUGCUUGAACUGGUAAUCUCUUUCCAUUCUCCACCAAGGUCUUGGUCUCUACUUGUUCUUCUGGCUUACGAAGUCCUGCAUUUAAUUGACUUUAUCAUUUGGAUACCAAGUCUAUGCAGUCCUAUGCGUUGAUGACAUUUGACACAAAGUUUGAUAUAGAUAUCUUUAUCAAGUGAGCUUUCCAAACUAUGAACAUAAGAGCACCUCCACCCCAAAGGGUAAGGGCAAGGCAAGGUUUGUCACUAUUCAAGUGAAUGGUGGCAGCCUUGCCUUUUUUGGUUCCACCCCAAAAGGCAAGGGCAAUUACUAUUCACUUUAAUUUAUUUUCUAUUUUUUUAUACUUAAACCAUUAAUUUUGAUAAGAUUUUCGGUUGCCACAUGUCACUAUUUAUUAUAAAAUUCUCACCUAAAAUUUUAGAUAACAUUUUCAGAUAAAUUUUCGAAUUAAAUUUUCAGAUAAUAUUUUUAGUUGCCACAUGUCCAUAUUUAUUAUAAAAUUCACAUCACACUCAUCAUACAAUUGAAAUACCUACUCACUCAUCAUACAAUUGAAAUACUCAUAGUCCGACAAAAUCGAGUACAAUGACGACUCAAUCAUUGGCGGAGGUGGUUCCACUGGAUCACGAUGUGGGGGAGUAUUUUCCUUCGGAGGACGUAAUAGUGCCAUUAUUUCAUACACGGAACGCAUCACUGGAAUCGGCUACGAGCAUUGUUCACUUGAGGAGCCAUGUGUAAUGGUUUCCUCUUUUUUGUUUUGCCUUGAAUAAUCUAUUUAAAAGUUGAAAUUGGAAAUGCAAGAAAUAUUUUUUUAAAAAAAUACAUUAAAUUGAAUAAAACGGCAAUUAAUUUUUUUCUACCUCGUCGCCAAGAUUUUGACAUAUUCGAACUUUUUUCUACGACCCUUGAAGCCAUUUGUUUUUUAUACAAAAUAGAAAGUAGUUGAACAAUGUGAGUGGAAAGUAAAAAAUAUUUGAAGGAGAAGAGUUUGUAUGAAGAUUUGGUGUGGAACGUGAAUAAAAUUGUUAGGUAUUUAUAGGGAAAAAAAUCCAGAAUUUUUUGGUACUUUAAAAAAAAAUUAGAAGCUAUCAGAUUUUUGGGAAAAAUUCAAUCAGAGCAUCCCAAAAGCGCCACAUGCUUCUUCCCGUUGGUGGUUGUCAUAAAAUAAAAUAAAAAAAUUAACCAUUGGCGCGUGAAAUUCACACGCCAACGGUAAUAAAAAAUUAAAUUAAAUUAAUUUGCACUGCAGACAUCAGCGCCUUUGGGCAACAGCCCAAUCCAGAUUUGCCCAUAAGCUUGCCCGGGCUGAUGGAUCCCACGCCUUGCCCGAACUAGAUUGCGCGCACUUGAGCUGGAUUUCGGGCUUGGGAUAGCCUUUUGCCCGGGCCAAGCUUGAGCGCUGGAGGUGGUGUAAGGAAUCGAUUCUAAGGCAAUAAGAAAGUGUUUUACAUAGAUGUUGCACUCAAGUGGGAGAAUAUAUAUCCUGCAUCUAUGCAUGCCAACGACUAUAAAAGGAGACCAUGAGGCAAUGAGUUCAUCAUCAAAGCAAACACACAAAUCCCAACUUAAAAUCAAUCAGUGAGGCAAUGGGUCAAGAUCAAACCAAGCCAGCAAAUGCUGGAAGCAAUGAUAUUAAAUUUAAAGGGGUGGAUGUGACCGACAACACCGGCGACGUGACGGGAUUUACCCACUUCGCCAACAGAACUGACGGGGCCGACAAGGGCAACAAUAAAAUCGAAGUUGAUGAUUUUAAAGCGAAGGGGAACAAGUCACACUUGAACGUACUUACUGACUUCGGCCAUCGCGGUCAGGCGGGCGAGUCAGGCAAACAAGAAAACAAAGAGAACAAGCAACUUCAGCAGGCAAGCAAUUGAAGAAGGCCAUACCAUAAUAAGUUCUCUGCUUGAUAGAUAUGCACUAAAAUAAGAGCUGAUGCAAUAUCUGAGGCUGCUUCCUUGGUUAGGCCUUGUUUUCAUGUGUAAUAUUAAUAUUAUUAUUCUAAUCUAAAAUAAUGGUUGCUUAUUAUUAAAUAUCAAAAUUCUUUACGUAUAACUUUUAGAUUAUUUAUACUUAUGUACCAACAAGAGAAAAUGAUUAAGUAUAUCAAAAUCCUUUCUCCAAUUCGUGAAGUUAGAAAAUGAUACUUCAAAAUUCACAACUAUAGUUGCACACGAGUAUAAAACUGAACCAAAUAUGAAGCAAUGCUUGGGCCAGUGUGACCAAAGCUCUCAAACGAUGCAUUUGAGAAGAAGGUACUAAAUUAAAGGAUGUACGCAUAUUUCCAGCCUUUGAAGUCGCA